GUAGGGGAUGCCCAGCUCCACUGCGAUGGCAGUUGGCGCGCUCUCCAGUUCCCUCCUGGUCACCUGCUGCCUGAUGGUGGCUCUGUGCAGUCCGAGCAUCCCGCUGGAGAAGCUGGCCCAGGCACCAGAGCAGCCGGGCCAGGAGAAGCGUGAGCACGCCUCUCGGGACGGCCCGGGGCGGGUGAACGAGCUCGGGCGCCCGGCGAGGGACGAGGGCGGCAGCGGCCGAGACUGGAAGAGCAAGAGCGGCCGUGGGCUCGCCGGCCGUGAGCCGUGGAGCAAGCUGAAGCAGGCCUGGGUCUCCCAGGGCGGGGGCGCCAAGGCCGGGGAUCUGCAGGUCCGGCCCCGUGGGGACACCCCGCAGGGGGAAGCCCUGGCUGCAGCCGCCCAGGACGCGAUUGGCCCGGAACUCGCACCCACGCCCGAGCCACCAGAGGAGUACGUGUACCCGGACUAUCGCGGCAAGGGCUGCGUGGACGAGAGCGGCUUCGUGUACGCGAUCGGGGAGAAGUUCGCGCCGGGCCCCUCGGCCUGCCCGUGCCUGUGCACCGAGGAGGGUCCGCUGUGCGCGCAGCCGGAGUGCCCGAGGCUGCACCCGCGCUGCAUCCACGUCGACACGAGCCAGUGCUGCCCGCAGUGCAAGGAGAGGAAGAACUACUGUGAGUUCCGGGGCAAGACCUAUCAGACUUUGGAGGAGUUCGUGGUGUCUCCAUGCGAGAGGUGUCGCUGUGAAGCCAACGGUGAGGUGCUGUGCACAGUGUCAGCGUGUCCCCAGACGGAGUGUGUGGACCCUGUGUACGAGCCUGAUCAGUGCUGUCCCAUCUGCAAAAACGGUCCAAACUGCUUUGCAGAAACCGCGGUGAUCCCUGCUGGCAGAGAAGUGAAGACUGACGAGUGCACCAUAUGCCACUGUACUUACGAGGAAGGCACAUGGAGAAUCGAGCGGCAGGCCAUGUGCACAAGACAUGAAUGCAGGCAAAUGUAGACGCUCCCCAGAACACAAACUCUUGACUUUUUCUAGGACAUUUUACUGAUGUGAACAUUCUAGAUGACUCUGGGAAAUAUCAGUCAAAGGAGAAGACUUAUGAUGAGGAAUAAUGGAAAAUUGUUGGUACUUUUCCUUUUCUUGAUAACAGUUACUACAACAGAAGGAAAUGGAUAUAUUUCAAAACAUCAACAAGAACUUUGGGCAUAAAAUCCCUCUCUAAAUAAAUGUGCUAUUUUCACAAUGGAGAACACUGUGCUUAGUGUUGAAGAUACCAAAGGGAACUCAAGUGAGGGGAAAAGAGGAGAGCAAACUGAUCAAAAGGGAAUGCCCAUGAUGCUUUCAGGAAACCAGGGUGAGAACAUGCUGUCUGGAGGAUGGGUCUGGUUUCCAGCAGAGAUGAUAGGAGUUUAAAGGCAUAGGUGAGUUGUUCCCAUCCCUGGCCUGGGCCUUACUCCAUAGCUAUAGAAACAUAGUCUCUAGAAACAAAGGCCAGAGCAUCCUUUUAACAUUUCUAUCGUAAGUAUUCUCAAUAAACGUUUGCAAUUUAUUUGCUUCAAUGUAACUUGGCAGUAAAGACUUUGGCCUUUGGAGGUCUGAUUCUAAUCCCAGUUCUACCACUUACCGGUUAUUUAUCAGGUACACGUUACCUACCUCUCUGUAACUCAGAUUGCUCAUCAGUAACAUGGGGAGAGUGGUAUCAACCACUAAGAGGAUUAAAUGAGUGAAUAUUUGUAAAACACGUAGCCUAGAAUAAAUAUUUAUAAAGCACAAGAUCUAUUUAAAGUGUUUAUAACAUAAUACAUUGGAAUAUGAGACUAUUGAAAUUAAAACAUUUUGAAGAUUCUAAUAAAUGAAUAAUUUAAUUUAGUGCUCAUUUGAAAAAUAUUUUAUCAUCAUGUUUAAAUUUAACAUAUAAUUUAUAUCUUAGUUUUUAUCCCAUUUAUAUAUAUAUUUGCCAGAAAAAUGUUUUGUAAUACCUUAAUUUUAUGUGGAGCUGAAUUUAAAAAAUUAGGCCUAAUUUGUAUGUGUUGUUGGAUGGGUAUGUGUAUUGACCUGAUUUAUAAAAUAAAGUAUUUAUUAAAC